rnacentral:rRNA from 1 species
GAUUAUAUUAGAAUUGAAUGAAGCUUUGUUUAUAUAUUGAUAAUGACAGUAUAUAUAUCGUGUCUUGACUAAUUGCGUGCCAGCAGUCGCGGUAAUACGUAAGAGACUAGUGUUAUUCAUCUUAAUUAGGUUUAAAGGGUACCCAGACGGUCAAUAUAGCUUAUAAAAUGUUAGUACUUGACUAGAGUUUUAUGUAAGAGGGCAGUACUUGAGGAGGAGAGAUGAAAUUUCGUGAUACCAAAGGGACUCUGUAAAGGCGAAGGCAGCCCUCUAUGUAAAAACUGACGUUGAAGGACGAAGGCACAGAGAACAAACAGGAUUAGAUACCCAAGUAGUCUUUGCAGUAAAUGAUGAAUGCCAUAGGUUAGAUGGGUGGGCUCGUCUAGUUGAGUUAGUUUAGCAAACUAAUGAUCUAGACGAGCCCACCGUAUAUUUGGUCUAUAAAUGAAAGUGUAAGCAUUUCACCUCAAGAGUAAUGUGGCAACGCAGGAACUGAAAUCACUAGACCGUUUCUGACACCAGUAGUGAAG